CGUCUUCUGGGGGCUGUACCGCGUAAUUGUUGGAAGUAUGCCCACAAAGCCACUCAUUUGAUGUAAUAGCUUUUGGAAUACUUAUUGUAUUAAACUUUUAUAUGUUUAAUGAAAGGCAAAACUUAUUGUUAAUCACUAUUUAUUGUAUCAUGUGCUUAAGCAAUAAGAGAAUCCAAGGGAUGUAUUUGAUCUAAGAGACAAGUGAUUUAAGUAAGUUAGAUUAUCGAGACAUUUCUCUUAUGUUCAUUCCUAAAACGUUUUUAGCCAUAGGAUUGCCAAUUGGGCAUUGACAAUCCGCUAAGGUUAGUAUGUGUUAUGUCGACUCAAGUGUGAGUAUGACUAGUCUCAAGUCAUUUGGUGUUGGACACUAAGACAAACACAUAGGUGCUCGAAAGAGUAAUCGAGUACACUGAACUACGAUCAAAAGAGAGUUCGAACAUACAUGUCAUGUAAGAACUCGAUAGUUGCAAUAUGCAAAGUAGUCCUUUGACCUGAGGCAUCAUAGAUGUCUAAUGGUUAGGUCCUUGACCUUUGAUCAUGUCAAAGGCAUUCCAUUGGAGUGUCCACAGCAUUGUUGGGGUCAAGCUAUCUAGUCAUGUAGGCAUAUGAAUGCACAACAAGGGAUCUCUAACCUUCCAUGGUGGAAGGAGAAUACUCUAAGUUGUGAUUCGAGAGUCUUUGGCCAAAGCAUAUGAAUAUGACUUAGGAAGUU
rnacentral:lncRNA from 1 species